rnacentral:rRNA from 1 species
AGUUUGAUCCUGGCUCAGAAUGAACGCUGGACGGCAGGCUUAACACAUGCAAGUCGAACGGAAACGAUGAAAAGCUUGCUUUUCAGGCGUCGAGUGGCGGACGGGUGAGUAACGCGUGGGAAUCUACCCUAUAGUUGGGGACAACAUAUGGAAACGUAUGCUAAUACCGAAUACNCUCUACGGAGUAAAGGAGCCCACUUCAUGAAAGGUUUCGCUAUAGGAUGAGCCCGCGUUAGAUUANCUANNUGGUGAGGUAAAGGCUCACCAAGGCCACGAUCUAUAGCUGGUUUGAGAGGAUGAUCAGCCACACUGGGUACUGAGACACGGCCCAGACUCCUACGGGAGGCAGCAG